GUGGGGAAUAUUGGACAAUGGGCGAAAGCCUGAUCCAGCAAUGCCGCGUGAGUGAUGAAGGCCUUAGGGUUGUAAAGCUCUUUUACCCGGGAUGAUAAUGACAGUACCGGGAGAAUAAGCUCCGGCUAACUCCGUGCCAGCAGCCGCGGUAAUACGGAGGGAGCUAGCGUUGUUCGGAAUUACUGGGCGUAAAGCGCGCGUAGGCGGUUUCUCAAGUCAGAGGUGAAAGCCCGGGGCUCAACCCCGGAACUGCCUUUGAAACUAGGAGACUAGAAUCUUGGAGAGGUCAGUGGAAUUCCGAGUGUAGAGGUGAAAUUCGUAGAUAUUCGGAAGAACACCAGUGGCGAAGGCGACUGACUGGACAAGUAUUGACGCUGAGGUGCGAAAGCGUGGGGAGCAAACAGGAUUAGAAACCCUUGUAGUCC
rnacentral:rRNA from 1 species